rnacentral:rRNA from 1 species
CUGGCUCAGAUUGAACGCUGGCGGCAGGCUUAACACAUGCAAGUCGAGCGGUAACAUUUCUAGCUUGCUAGAAGAUGACGAGCGGCGGACGGGUGAGUAAUACUUAGGAAUCUACCUAGUAGUGGGGGAUAGCUCGGGGAAACUCGAAUUAAUACCGCAUACGACCUACGGGAGAAAGGGGGCAGUUUACUGCUCUCGCUAUUAGAUGAGCCUAAGUCGGAUUAGCUAGAUGGUGGGGUAAAGGCCUACCAUGGCGACGAUCUGUAGCUGGUCUGAGAGGAUGAUCAGCCACACCGGAACUGAGACACGGUCCGGACUCCUACGGGAGGCAGCAGUGGGGAAUAUUGGACAAUGGGGGCAACCCUGAUCCAGCCAUGCCGCGUGUGUGAAGAAGGCCUUUUGGUUGUAAAGCACUUUAAGCAGUGAAGAAGACUCCGUGGUUAAUACCCACGGACGAUGACA